rnacentral:tRNA from 1 species
AAAUAAGAAGCAAUAGAUGCAUUUAGUUUCGACCUAAAAACUGAUUUUAAAUAAUCCUUAUUUA